ACCUGUAUUUUGCUAAGCAGACUUUUCAUAUCCCUUCUGUUUAUGGCUAGAUUAAUGUCUUUUAUUGUUACCUUCGAUCCACCAUAUUCAUUUCAAGUCCAAAUUUCUCAUGCCAAUAAAAGUUGACAAAUUCAAAUGAGUCGAGUAGACCGGUAAAUGCUAUGAUUAAAGUUAACCGAUUAAUAUAAAAAAAAAAACAGUACCCC
rnacentral:lncRNA from 1 species